UGAUCCGAGCUUUCCGGGCUAAGUGGAAACAUACGCUCUGUCAGCCGAAGCCGGAAUUUUUAACGGCUUAAGGGUAUCGCGGGAAACGGCGCUGCCUUCCGUGUUUGAAAAGGAGAAAAUAUCA
rnacentral:ncRNA from 1 species